CCUACGGGGGGCUUCAGUGGGGAAUAUUGGACAAUGGGGGCAACCCUGAUCCAGCCAUGCCGCGUGUGUGAAGAAGGCCCUCGGGUUGUAAAGCACUUUCAGUGAGGAAGAACGCCUGGUGGUUAAUACCCAUCAGGAAAGACAUCACUCACAGAAGAAGCACCGGCUAACUCCGUGCCAGCAGCCGCGGUAAUACGGAGGGUGCGAGCGUUAAUCGGAAUUACUGGGCGUAAAGCGCGCGUAGGUGGCUUGAUAAGCCGGUUGUGAAAGCCCCGGGCUCAACCUGGGAACGGCAUCCGGAACUGUCAAGCUAGAGUGCAGGAGAGGAAGGUAGAAUUCCCGGUGUAGCGGUGAAAUGCGUAGAGAUCGGGAGGAAUACCAGUGGCGAAGGCGGCCUUCUGGACUGACACUGACACUGAGGUGCGAAAGCGUGGGUAGCAAACAGGAUUAGAUACCCUUGUAGUC
rnacentral:rRNA from 1 species